GAUUGCGUAGCCAAGUGGUUACGGCGCUGGUUUUAGGUCUUGUGACGCAUUCACCAGUGGGAAACCUCGCGAGUUCGAAUCUCGUCGCAAUCA
rfam:Schizopora paradoxa strain KTC8140 unplaced genomic scaffold SCHPAscaffold_00060, whole genome shotgun sequence.